rnacentral:lncRNA from 1 species
UUUUUCAUUUGUUCUUGGAGAAAAUUUGUUUUCCCCUAUUUUAUUGGUCCACCGAUUUCAGAUUUGUUCAGGAAAUUCCAAAUUAGUACCAAUCUUGAAUGGGAAAUCUUAUCCAGAACCCCAAAAGUUCAAAAAUAUCCUCUUGUUCAAUCCCUAAAAUACCCCCAUCUCCGUAUCCUAUAUAAAAACCCUUUGAGGUCACUAUUUAGGGAUUGGGAAAUCCUAGGGUUCGAAAAUUAGGUAGGAAAUUCUGAAAUCUAGAAAUUCUAGGAUUGGGAAAUUCCAGAAAAGAAACUUAGGUUCAAGAAAAUGAAAGGAAAGAAAACUUUGGAAGAAAUAUAAGGUCUUUAGUGGAAAUUCUUUCUUGUUUUGAGAGUCCAUUGACUAAAUUCGAGUUUCAAGUUGGUGGUGAAGGAGUGUUCUGGUGGUCAUGAUCUCUAUAGCCAGUUCGUUGCUCCAUUUUGCUGCCCUUAAAGAGGUAAAUACACUCUGUUUACCUCCUAAUUUGAUCUCUUUUCUCCUUCUCCUCUUUUCUGUGUAGCUGAUGUUGUAAUCAUGAAUUUAUUUUAUUAGGAAUAGUUUGAUGUAGUCAUAGUUGUAAUGGGGUUUUGCUUAGAGCAGCCUCCAUGGCCUGAUCAAAAAUUUUAAUUGUUCUGGGUUGUUUGCUGGUAGAUGACUUUAACAACUGUAGGAAUUAGUUGAAGAUAAUUGUGUUUGCAUUGUUUUUGCUAGAGCGAGGCCCAUCCUACCAUGUCGUUCUGUUAUCUAUUCUGUCUUUCUGACUUUGCUAUUUUGAAUCCUCAUUCUUGCAUUACUGUUGUUGGUUCGUUGCUAGUCUCGUUUUCAGUAUGUUUUGCCUUUUGUAUAAUUGAUUUGUGUGCGCAAUAUUUGUCAUUGUGAGUUUGUUACCAUUGUUCCUAUAACCAAAUCUGUUUAAUCACACUAUUGUAGUUUUUUUUUAUGGCGUAUCAUUUUUUUGACUCAACCGUAAGUUCAAUAUGUUAGUCUCUCAAUGCAUGUUUCGUGUCUACCUUUUAAAAUUACUUGAAUGUUAGUUUGCAUUCUAGUCAUCACCAUAUCAUUUUUAGAUCUAAGUAUGUUAAUCUGAUUUGUUGAACCUUAGUCUUUUAGUUUGUGUUCAGGACCUUAGUGUUAUGUUGUGGGUAAUUUGUACUCUCUCGAGUUUGUCUUUUGAAUUUUUACAGUUGACAAAAAACAUCCUUUAAAGCUCCUAUUGAAAAAAAAUGUCAAUAAAGGGCAAGAGGAUAUGUUAUAUUGAUUUUAAAUCAUCCCACGACCCUUCAAGGACUCAUAUCAGCCCUCAAAGUUUUGUACAAACUUAUCGAGAGAAAAGGUGUCAUGUUGUAUCAGGAAAGUUUGUUUUUAGUGUAUCUUUGUAGGUGGGUGAAAUCUAUGUUAAAAAUUUUAAAGUAAAUGUUUGGAUUGUUUCAUUUACUCCCAUUUGAUUCUAAUCACGCACCACCAUGUUGUGAUUGUGAAUAUGUGACCCACAUAUUAUUACUUUUCAUGACUUUGAUGGAAUUUGAUCCUUGUUUCAAGAUCUGUCCAGCUAGAGUUAAUAUUUGGCGUAGUGGCAUACUAGAAGUGAUAAAGGGAAAUCUGGUGUGUGAAUUUGUUGGUACUUAAAAGGGAGGGUCUUUUUCUUUUAUGGGUCGCAACCAUGAGUAGAUAAAAAGGGACUGGAGUCUGGAUUUGAUCAUGAAUAGAAUUUGUUUUCCUUUUUCCUUAACUUGUGGUUGUUACCGCUAUUCUUUCCCUCUGAUGAUAUCAUGUUAAAGUGUAUAAGAACUAUAUCUCUAUAAUUUUAAUUUUCACGAUACUUUAAAAGUUUAAAUUUUGAACUCUGGAAUGGCUUAUAGGCAUCUUAUUGGGUUAUUUUCGAAUGUCCUAUGGCUCUAGUCAUUCACACUUGCCUGUUGUGUUAUUAUAACUAUUGUUAUGAUUGUUUUAUUCCUACUGUUCUAGCUUAGAGAGUAUACUAACUGCCUUUCAUUGAAUUAGCUGGAUCAUUUUCAUAUCAUUACUUGCUAUUGUAUGGACGUGUGAGAAUGCUCUUUUAAUGAUGUCAUUUACCUUUAAGUAUCUAUCUUUUAACACUUAUUAAUUACUUCGCCUUUCUUUUGCAUGUGGACUCUUUUUCCUUUGCAUGUUUAUUAUGUGCCAUUGAGGCCCAAUAACCCCGAGUUGAUUCCGAUGGAAAAUCUUAAGUCAGUUACAUAGCAUCUGGAUACGAAGAAUCAAAGGAAGAUGAAUGGGUUGAAAUCCCAUAUUAGAAGUGGCUAAGAGACUUAAAAGUCUCAUUUAUUUGCCUAGUUAUUCAGCAUUGCCUUUAUGCAUUCAUUUCUUUGUUUUCUUGUUUCUUUAUUUUAUUCAUUCGGGACAUGGAGCCAAAGUUGUAUUUAAUACUGGUGGAGCAAGUUUGAGCCGAAGGCUAAAAAAUAUAGAUUAGGACAGGUGGAAGACGGGUCGAAAAUCCAAUAUCUAGAUUAGGACAGGGUGACGGAUUUGGG